UCGCUAGUAAUCGCAGAUCAGCAUGCCGCGGUGAAUACGUUCCCGGGCCUUGUACACACCGCCCGUCACACCACGA
rnacentral:rRNA from 1 species